rnacentral:lncRNA from 1 species
AGAAGCUUCAAAAUCGGGACCACCUAUCAUAUCUUCAUGCAUGGAGGGAUAACCUCACUACUCACAAGAUUGUGGAAACUCCCACUAUCGAAGAAAGCAAAAGUUUUCUUGUGGUUAAUAGUGAACAACAUAAUACUAGUAGGUGAAAACCUACAGAAAAGAAGAUGGAACGGUCCGAUGGUUGUGUCUUAUGUAGAAAUUUAGAUAAAACUUGAACCACAUCUUUCUCUUGCAUCCAUUUGCACAACAAGUUUGGCAAUAAUCCAGGCU